CAGGCCUAACACAUGCAAGUCGAGCGGACAGAAGGGAGCUUGCUCCCGGAUGUUAGCGGCGGACGGGUGAGUAACACGUGGGUAACCUGCCUGUAAGACUGGGAUAACUCCGGGAAACCGGAGCUAAUACCGGAUAGUUCCUUGACCCGCAUGGUUCAAGGAUGAAAGACGGUUUCGGCUGUCACUUACAGAUGGACCCGCGGCGCAUUAGCUAGUUGGUGGGGUAAUGGCUCACCAAGGCGACGAUGCGUAGCCGACCUGAGAGGGUGAUCGGCCACACUGGGACUGAGACACGGCCCAGACUCCUACGGGAGGCAGCAGUAGGGAAUCUUCCGCAAUGGACGAAAGUCUGACGCCAGCAACGCCGCGUGAGUGAUGAAGGUUUUCGGAUCGUAAAGCUCUGUUGUUAGGGAAGACCA
rnacentral:rRNA from 1 species